rnacentral:rRNA from 1 species
CAGUCGAACGCGUCUCCGUUGAUGAUUUCAGGUGCUUGCACCUGAAAGAUUUAACAUUGAGACGAGUGGCGAACUGGUGAGUAACACGUGGGUAACCUGCCCUUGAAGUAGGGGAUAACACUUGGAAACAGGUGCUAAUACCGUAUAACAACCAAAACCACCUGGUUUUGGUUUAAAAGACGGCUUCGGCUGUCACUUUAGGAUGGACCCGCGGCGUAUUAGCUUGUUGGUAAGGUAACGGCUUACCAAGGCGAUGAUACGUAGCCGACCUGAGAGGGUAAUCGGCCACAUUGGGACUGAGACACGGCCCAAACUCCUACGGGAGGCAGCAGUAGGGAAUCUUCCACAAUGGACGAAAGUCUGAUGGAGCAACGCCGCGCGAGUGAUGAAGGGUUUCGGCUCGUAAAACUCUGUUGUUGGAGAAGAACAGGUGUCAGAGUAACUGUUGACAUCUUGACGGUAUCCAACCAGAAAGCCACGGCUAACUACGUGCCAGCAGCCGCGGUAAUACGUAGGUGGCAAGCGUUGUCCGGAUUUAUUGGGCGUAAAGCGAGCGCAGGCGGUUUUUUAGGUCUGAUGUGAAAGCCUUCGGCUUAACCGGAGAAGUGCAUCGGAAACCGGGAGACUUGAGUGCAGAAGAGGACAGUGGAACUCCAUGUGUAGCGGUGAAAUGCGUAGAUAUAUGGAAGAACACCAGUGGCGAAGGCGGCUGUCUGGUCUGUAACUGACGCUGAGGCUCGAAAGCAUGGGUAGCGAACAGGAUUAGAUACCCUGGUAGUCCAUGCCGUANACGAUGAGUGCUAAGUGUUGGAGGGGUUCCGCCCUUCAGUGCUGCAGCUAACGCAUUAAGCACUCCGCCUGGGGAGUACGACCGCAAGG